CCGUUAACCCUUCAGCAGCCCGAGGCUCCAGUUGUGAUCUGCAGAACAGCGGCUGCUGGUUAUGAUGGAGCAGUAUGUGCUACUGGAUCCACGGCAGAGGGCCUUGUACCGGGACGUCAUGCAGGAGAGUUAUGAGACGCUGAUGGCACUUGAAUUUCCACUGCCCAAGCCUGACUUGCUGACCCGAACAGAACGAGGAGAUGAAGCAACAGCCUUUGACUUUCAGGGGCCGAGAGGCAUCC